UACGUAGGGUGCGAGCGUUGUCCGGAAUUAUUGGGCGUAAAGGGCUCGUAGGCGGUUUGUCGCGUCGGGAGUGAAAACUCAGGGCUUAACCCUGAGCCUGCUUCCGAUACGGGCAGACUAGAGGUAUGCAGGGGAGAACGGAAUUCCUGGUGUAGCGGUGAAAUGCGCAGAUAUCGGGAGGAACACCAGUGGCGAAGGCGACUACCUGGCCUGUUCUUGACGCUGAGGCGCGAAAGCUAGGGGAGCAAACGGG
rnacentral:rRNA from 1 species